rnacentral:lncRNA from 1 species
GUGCUUGAGAGGCAGGUGGUGGCACCACUGAGCUAAAUUCCCAGCUUGCCUUGACUUCUGAAGAACAGUAUCUUCUGGACAGUAAUUUCCACCAGCCAUGUUGGCAGCAAUGCUCAGCGAAAGCUCGACUUCAGCCAUAUGGCUUCAGAUGCACCAGGCAAUAGUGGCUGUCAUACCUUAGAAAACAGAAAACAGACUGCACUGGAAGUCCUGCAAAUCUGUGGCCUUUGGAACACAGGCAUGAGGAAGACAAAAACAGUCCAGUUUUCUAUAAAGGAAUAAAACGAGACUCAGAG